GAAAUGCGAUAAGUAAUGUGAAUUGCAGAAUUCAGUGAAUCAUCGAAUCUUUGAACGCACAUUGCGCCCGCCAGCACUCUGGCGGGCAUGCCUGUUCGAGCGUCAUUUCAACCCUCAGAACCCCUUGCGGGAUCCGGCGUUGGGGAUUGGCAUCCAGCCAGCCCCGAAAUCUAGUGGCGGUCCCUCCGCGACCUCCCCUGUGCAGUAGCGAUACCUCGCAGCGGGACAGCGGUCUGACCACGCCGUAAAACCCCCAACUUCUCAAGUUUGACCUCGAAUCAGGUAGGAAUACCCGCUGAACUUAAGC
rnacentral:misc_RNA from 1 species